AUGUACUGUUUGUACAUUCCGGCUCCUGCGCUCCGGGCGCGCCCAACCUGACUGCGCUCGCGACAUUUUUUAAGAC
rnacentral:sRNA from 1 species